AUUGAACGCUGGCGGCAGGCCUAACACAUGCAAGUCGAACGGGUGGCGGACGGGUGGAUAAUGUCUGGGAAACUGCCUGAUGGAGGGGGAUAACUACUGGAAACGGUAGCUAAUACCGCAUACCAUCGGAUGUGCCCAGCUGGGAUGAGCUAGUAGGUGGGUAAAAGACUCAACAAGUCGACGAUACCUAGCUGGUCUGAGAGGAUGACCAGCCAUACUGGAACGGAGCCAAGGUCCAGACUCCUACGGUAGGCAGCAUUUGGGAAUAUUGCAAAAUGGGCGCAAGUCUGAUAAAGCCAUGCCGCGUGUAUGAAGAAGGCUUGCGGGUUGUAAAGUACUUUCAGCGGGGAGGCGUUACCCGCAGAAGAAGCACCGGCUAACUCCGUGCCAGCAGCCGCGGUAAUAC
rnacentral:rRNA from 1 species